GAUUAAGAUUUUGUAUUGCUCAAUUUAAGUUCAAUAAGUAACAUAGAUCACAAAGUUUGCUAAUUUAUAUUGAUGCUUUAAGACUCCUUACAUGACGUUUCCGCAACACACCCGAGGUCAAAGUUCGUAUAUAUUAAAAUGCAACAAUGUGUAUAGUUCGUUAUUGAGGAUAAUGUAUAGAUUAUUUUACAUAGGGAAAGAUAUUUAUACGCUAUAGUUAAUUGUAACUGUUUAAUUUCAACUUAUGUUUACAUUAAAUGACAUCCUUAAGCCAACUUUACUAAUAUUGAUCGCUAUUUUCGUGUUAUACAUCUAUAAUCAUCUUGUUGUUAAAGAUUUGAAGCUUUGCUGCGAUAAUACAGCAGAGAAUUAUUCUCAUUAUGAUUUGGUCGUUGGAAUACUUUCAUCGCGCGGCAACUUUGAUUUGAGGCAAAGUUUACGUGAAUCAUGGGUUGGCUAUGCAAGACGACAUUCAUCUCUAAA